AGUGGGAAGCCCAGGCUUCUACUCCAGUCUAUCUCCUGUCUCCACACCUCCUCCACUCCUUCACCUCCCUCUUCUCUCCUAAUGGCUCAGCACACCACAGUGAUCUUGCCAUGCUGGAGGGGCCCCGUGUUUCCUUUCUCUGCAUACCUGACCUCUUCAGCUAUAGUGCGGUCUACCCUAGCUCCUGCCGGCCUGGGAAUCACCCAUUUAGACCUACACCAAUCAGGAGUGUGGAUGGGACCGUGGACCACAGAGGGUCUGGAUUCCAGAGGGUGGAAUGCCCAAGGCCUGUGCUGACAUGAAGCAAACCUUCUACUCUCUCAACUUGCUUUCUCAUCUGGAGAGUGACAUAUCCACCCUGACCAGGCACCCAUCAUCCUCGUGGUUCAGAGAAGUACACCAAGGCACAGGGUUACAGUACAUGAUUGUGGCUGACCAGAGACAGGUUUUUAACCCAAACCUUCGAGUCCAGAGCUGCGAUGACAUCUCCCUUUACGUGGGCUGCAUGACUGUUGAGCGCUAGUUGCAAACAGGCUAUUGGAUGUAUGUGGACACGGACCCUUAUUUACAUGCCUGAAUAAAAUCAGAAGAUUUUACAGUUAA